UUCCCUAUCUCACUCUCCUCAG
rnacentral:miRNA from 1 species